UCAGGACGAACGCUGGCGGCAUGCCUAACACAUGCAAGUCGAACGGAAGUAGAAAUACUUAGUGGCGAACGGGUGAGUAACACGUGAGCAACCUGCCUUAUACACAGGGAUAACAGUUGGAAACGACUGCUAAUACCGGAUAAGACCACACUAUGGCAUCAUAGAGGGGUCAAAGCGAAUAAGCGGUAUAAGAUGGGCUCGCGUCCAAUUAGCUAGUUGGUGAGGUAACGGCCCACCAAGGCGACGAUUGGUAGCCGACUUGAGAGAGUGAUCGGCCACACUGGAACUGAGACACGGUCCAGACUCCUACGGGAGGCAGCAGUGGGGAAUAUUGGUCAAUAGACGAGAGUCUGAACCAGCCAAGUCGCGUGCAGGAAGAAUGUCCUUAAUGGAUUGUAAACUGCUUUUGCAGGGGAAUAAAGUGCAUCACGUGUGAUGUUUUGUAUGUACUCUGCGAAUAAGGAUCGGCUAACUCCGUGCCAGCAGCCGC
rnacentral:rRNA from 1 species